ACUUCCUGUUAGCCGUGAGCGCAUGCGUGAAUAGAAGAUAUCAAAGAACAUUUGCAGACCGAUGCCUCACGCAAGGAAUUGGAAUUUGUUUUGAAAGAAUCUUUGUCGUCGUGAUUGCGGUUAUAGUUAUGUACAGGGAUGAAAUGAUGUUCUAAGUGAUUUACUUAGUAUCUACGUUUGUUGCUGCAAUCAAUAUUUUUAAAGUGUUAUUGAACUGGGCAUAAACAUGGCUUUAAGAUUGGCUUUCGGCCAUAUAUCAUCCAGGAUCACGUCAAGAAUAAUGUAUGCUAAUAUGAUCGCUACAACAUGUUUUCAAACGAACUUCAACACACUUCGCAACGCUACUUUUUGGAGUGUACGGAAUGUUCACUGUAACCUACUACCUCCGGUGUGCCCUAUGCUGACAUCGGCUUGUGGAUUCAAAAUGAAAGCCAGGCUUAAAAGACGCUGUAAGGAUUGCUAUUUUGUCAUGAGGCAAGACAGACUGUAUGUUAUGUGCAAAACUCAUCCGCGACAUAAACAGAUGGCAAUCAAACCUCCGGAAAAGAAGACUUGGAUAUUAACACACGCCACACAAGGAAAAAUAAGACCAUGGUAACACAUUACACAGAUACAGAUAUGCUUCAGAUGAAAAUCUUGCAUAAGCGCUAUGAUCUCUUAGCAAAGGGACAAGCCCUAUUGAAAGAGCUGGUUGGUUGUUACUUAGUAAUUAAAUGAAAACAAGUCGAAUAUUUUUAGCAGUUAAUCAUUUAUUGCAGAUAAGACAUUGCGUUAUUUGAAAUAGGAAAAUGAGUAUAAAUGAAUUCACUUCAGAACAUUAUCUACUUGGAAUUAUAUUUCCCAUUUAGAUGUUACGUGUUGCAUUUGUGAACUCUCAGAUUGACUAUAAUUUCAGUUUCAAGUGAGUGUAUGAUCAGCAGCAUGGAUAACACCUGAAAAUGCCAUUUUUAUUCUCAAAUUGAUAUUGUUAUGAAGUAAAUUUCUUUAUGAAGUCUUUUUGACAAAUUUACACCUAUAGACUCCAUAAAUCAUGAUGCAGAAGUGGAUACUGUGAGUUAUUUACUCCUCAGUACAUUAUCAUCCACUAUAUGGCCGAAAGUCUCCAAACACCUGUUGCUGUUUUGUCACAAAGAUUUCAUGUAUGCUACUUAUGGUUUCAGCAGUCAAUCUUGAAAAAGUCUCUCUGGUACAUUUAGGUAUCCAGAUACAUUGUUUUGCGUUAUUUAUGCAGUUUCAGCCAGAUGGAUGUUUAUUAAAUCGAUUGGAUGUUCUUUCA